UAAGGUGGGUCGGCGGUCGCUGGAGUUUUUAAAGCUCCAGAGGAAAGUCCGAGCUCCAGAGGGCAGGGUGCCGGGUAACGCCCGGAGGGGGUAACCCCUGGAAAGUGCCACAGAAAAGAGACCGCCGGUCUACCUUGACCGGUAAGGGUGAAAAGGUGGGGUAAGAGCCCACCGCUGUCGUGGUAACACGGCAGGCACGGCAAACCCCACCCGGAGCAAGACCAAGUAGGGAAGCGUCUGAGGGUGGCCCGCCCGAGCUUCCGGGUCGGUCGCUAGAGCGGUCGGGUAACCGACCGCCAAGAUGAAUGACCGCCACUCCUGAAGGAGAACAGAACUCGGCUUAUGGCCCGCCUUACCCC
rnacentral:RNase_P_RNA from 1 species